GACGAACGCUGGCGGCGUGCUUAACACAUGCAAGUCGAACGGAAAGGCCCUGCCUUUGUGGGGCGCUCGAGGGGCGAACGGGUGAGUAACACGUGAGUAACCUGCCCUUGACUUUGGGAUAACUUCAGGAAACUGGGGCCAAUACCGGAUAGGAGCUCCAGCUGCAUGGUGGGGGAUGGAAAGUUACGGCGGUUGGGGAUGGACUCGCGGCUGAUCAGCGUGUGGGUGGGGUAGUGGCUUACGAAGGCCUUGACGGGUAGCCGGCCUGGGAGGGUGACCGGCCCCAGUGGGACAGGGAUGCGGCCCAGACGCCUACGGGGGGCAGCGGUGGAGACUAGUGCACACUGGGCGGAAUCCUGGUGCAACAACUCCGGGUGCGGGACGGCGGCCUUCGGGUAGGAAACGGCUUUCGCUAAUGCCGAGGCGUGAGUGCCGGUACUGGGGAAAGAGGCACCGCCUACCUCCUU
rnacentral:rRNA from 1 species